UAUCAAUGUGGUUCCUAUCUUCACUAUGGUGGAGGCAACAUCUAUCCCUGGAAAAGAGAUCAAAGGAGAUGGAGGCAACAUGAACAGAAACAAAACCAAGACAGCAGAAACAGAGGAAGUGAUAAGUGUAUCAGAUAUUUAUCAAAAUCAAGACUUAGUGUACUCAAAGCAGCGGACCUCCGAACCACA